GAAUAAGAGGUCCAGCCUGCCCUGUGACUAUAUGUUUAACGGCCGCGGUAUUUUAACCGUGCGAAGGUAGCGCAAUCACUUGUCUUUUAAAUGAAGACCUGUAUGAAUGGCACAACGAGGGCUUAACUGUCUCCUUUUUCAGGUCAAUGAAAUUGAUCUCCCCGUGCAGAAGCGGGUAUAUAUACAUAAGACGAGAAGACCCUAUGGAGCUUUAGACACCAAGGCAUUUCAUGUUAAACACCCUUUUACAAUAGGCUAAACCAAAUGAACCGUGCCCCUAUGUCUUUGGUUGGGGCGACCGCGGGGAAACAAAAAACCCCCACGUGGAAUGGGAGCACUGCCUCCUACAACCAAGAGCUGCAGCUCUAGUAAACAGAAAUUCUGACCAUCAGAUCCGGCAAUGCCGAUCAACGGACCGAGUUACCCUAGGGAUAACAGCGCAAUCCCCUUUUAGAGCCCAUAUCGACAAGGGGGUUUACGACCUCGAUGUUGGAUCAGGACAUCCUAAUGGUGCAGCCGCUAUUAAGGGUUCGUUUGUUCAACGAUUAAAGUCCUACGUG
rnacentral:rRNA from 1 species